CAAACGAGGAACCAAAAAGGUUUGAGAUGUUUAUUACUACCCGAACAAGUCGGAAGAGGAAAGAAGUGGAUGAGGAAACACAGACUGCUGUUACUUCCAACACCGCCAAGCUGCUGGUGAAACAGAAGAGGAAGCAUUUGAGGCCUUAUUCGGGAAAGAACAACCAGGUCAGGUAAGGUUGUAUAGAAGAUCUGUGACAAAAAGUGAUUUUAAAAAACAUGCUGAAAUUAAUGAAAUCAAGAAUCAACACAAAGAGGAAGUGUCCAGUCUGAAGGAUAAACUUGGACACAUGGAGGCCAAACAGCAAAAACAAGAGGAAGAGAUUCAUGGGUUGCGAAAUAUGGUCAAGUUAAUACUGCAGCGAUCUGAACCUGGAAUGAGGCCAGAAGAACUAGAAGCUUUAUUACAAUAUGCCCAACAGUCUCCGAUUGAUGCAAAUAGCGGCCAUGGAUCAACUCAUUUUCUGAACUUAGAUGUGGGUAACAAUGAAGAUUAAGCUGAUUAUUAUUGUGGUUUAUUGGCUAAGAUAGAGUACUGUUUAGAAUCUUUACAUGUAUGGUUGACUAAUGACUUUUAUUAGAAGAUACUUAU